CCCCUGGUGGUCCAGUGGCUAAGACUUUGCACUCUCAACGCAGGGGACCUGGGUUCGAUUCCUAGUCGGGGAA
rnacentral:tRNA from 1 species